rnacentral:rRNA from 1 species
UACAGAGGGGGCGAGCGUUGUUCGGAAUCACUGGGUGUAAAGGGUGCGUAGGCGGUCGGCUAAGUCUGAUGUGAAAGCCCUCGGCUCAACUGAGGAAUUGCAUUGGAAACUAUCCGGCUCGAGUACUGGAGAGGGAAGCGGAAUUCCUGGUGUAGCGGUGAAAUGCGUAGAUACCAGGAGGAACACCGGUGGCGAAGGCGGCUUCCUGGCCAAGUACUGACGCUGAGGCACGAAAGCGUGGGGAGCGAACGGG